rnacentral:rRNA from 1 species
GACGAACGCUGGCGGCGUGCUUAACGCAUGCAAGUCGAACGAUGAACCCGGAGCUUGCUCCGGUGGAUUAGUGGCGAACGGGUGAGUAACACGUGAGUAACCUGCCCUUGACUCUGGGAUAACUGCGGGAAACUGUAGCUAAUACCGGAUACGACCCUCGGCGGCAUCGCCAGGGGGUGGAAAGAAUUUCGGUCAAGGAUGGACUCGCGGCCUAUUAGCUAGUUGGUGAGGUAACGGCUCACCAAGGCGACGACGGGUAGCCGGCCUGAGAGGGUGACCGGCCACACUGGGACUGAGACACGGCCCAGACUCCUACGGGAGGCAGCAGUGGGGAAUAUUGCACAAUGGGCGCAAGCCUGAUGCAGCAACGCCGCGUGAGGGAUGACGGCCUUCGGGUUGUAAACCUCUUUUAGUAGGGAAGAAGCGAAAGUGACGGUACCUGCAGAAAAAGCACCGGCUAACUACGUGCCAGCCGCCGCGGUAACAC